UUCGAUAUGCAAAUAAAUAUUUGAGUCCUCCUAAUAUCAAAAGUCACGUGUUCUGUUCUUCAACAAACAGACAGCUUUUAAUUAACAAGUCUGAAGUUUGUGUAUAAAUUCUUUCCAUCUCUUUGUUGGUGGCACAGGCGAAGUGAAAACUGUUUGCAAUUGUACAUCUGGUUUAUUUGUCUUGAGAGAAGGGUCCUGACAACAACAACAAUAUGAAGCUGUUUACAGUUGUUCUGGUGGGCUUACUGCUCUUGUCCUUCAUCUGUAAUUCUGAAGCCAGAAGUACCAUGAAAAUCAGACACUACAACAACAAAGUCAAAAUGUUCUACAACCAAUACAUGAAAAAUAUCUUGUAUAUUCUGCAAAGGAAGACAGCAGGAACAAAACUAAAGAAAUCUUUGAUGUUGAUGAAGCAUGUUUUGUUGAGGUAAAAAUUAUAAACGGACUACCCAAGUGGUUGUGUAUUGUUGAGAAACAUAUGUAUCUUUGGAAGUAUGCAUGUUUAUAUUUGUUUUUCAAAACCAUUCGUUAAAGUAUUAAUAAAACACUGAAGAAAUAAGAUCUUGUCUGGGUUUGUUUUAUGUGCUUUGGUUUCAUCAACAUCCGGCGUUUUACUAUUAUUAAAAAAAAACAAUUUAUGUACAAUAAAUGGUUUAUGUAUGUUGCCAGUUGGUUAAUAUGUUGAUUUUCCCCCAUUAAGUGAUAUUUGUAUCUGGCAAUUUGCAUACAUUGCGACUGCGCAUGCGCACUUUUCCUGAACUUCAGUCAAAGAGAAAACUUGCUGUCUGCCACCACCCACCCUUCCACCAUCUUAUAUCUAGUCAUGUUAGUGUUUUAUUGUUGCCUUCUAGUACCAACACAUUAAACAUCUUUCAUUACUAAAUUUUAUAUAAUUGUAUAUAUAACUAGAACAUUUGUAUAGGGUUAGCGCCCCCCUUUUCUCCAGAUUUGCAUUAUUCUUGAGACUCAUUUAAUUUUGGCUAGAUAUUUUUUAGGUCAAUUUUGCCGAAAUUGUAUUCUAGUCAUUCGAUACAACUUAUUGUUUCUCUCAGGCACAAACUUGACUUUUUAUGAUCUGUCUCCUUUCUUUUGAUAUUUAUGUACAUACAUGUAACUUAUUUUAAUUUGUACAUGUUUUUUAUUGUGCCUUUUGUUCAUUGUCAUUUAUUGCAUCCAAUAAAUGAAUUUUUUAUUCUCU
rnacentral:misc_RNA from 1 species